GAUGAACGCUAGCUACAGGCUUAACACAUGCAAGUCGAGGGGUAACGAGAGGAAAGCUUGCUUUCCUUGUCGACGACCGGCGCACGGGUGAGUAACGCGUAUCCAACCUGCCCCCAACUAGGGAAUAGCCUUGCGAAAGUAAGACUAAUACCCUAUAAUUUCCUCAGAUGUCAUCUGACGAGGAAUAAAGAUUUAUCGGUUGUGGAUGGGGAUGCGUCUGAUUAGCUUGUUGGCGGGGUAACGGCCCACCAAGGCAACGAUCAGUAGGGGUUCUGAGAGGAAGGUCCCCCACAUUGGAACUGAGACACGGUCCAAACUCCUACGGGAGGCAGCAGUGAGGAAUAUUGGUCAAUGGGCGGAAGCCUGAACCAGCCAAGUAGCGUGCAGGAUGACGGCCCUAUGGGUUGUAACCUGCUUUUAUACAGGAAUAAAGUUAGCCACGUGUGGUUAUUUGUAGGUACUGUAUGAAUAAGGACCGGCUAAUUCCGUGCCAGCAGCCGCGGUAA
rnacentral:rRNA from 1 species